rnacentral:rRNA from 1 species
CAAGUCGAACGGCAACAGGGAGCUUGCUCCGCUGACGAGUGGCGAACGGGUGAGUAAUGCAUCGGAACGUGCCUAUUUGUGGGGGAUACCGUAGCGAAAGUUACGCUAAUACCGCAUACGCCCUGAGGGGGAAAGCGGGGGAUUCGUAAGAACCUCGCGCAAUUAGAGCGGCCGAUGUCGGAUUAGCUAGUUGGUGGGGUAAAGGCUCACCAAGGCGACGAUCCGUAGCGGGUCUGAGAGGAUGAUCCGCCACACUGGGACUGAGACACGGCCCAGACUCCUACGGGAGGCAGCAGUGGGGAAUUUUGGACAAUGGGCGAAAGCCUGAUCCAGCCAUGCCGCGUGAGUGAAGAAGGCCUUCGGGUUGUAAAGCUCUUUCAGCCGGAAAGAAAUCGCGCAGGCUAAUACUCUGCGUGGAUGACGGUACCGGAAGAAGAAGCACCGGCUAACUACGUGCCAGCAGCCGCGGUAAUACGUAGGGUGCGAGCGUUAAUCGGAAUUACUGGGCGUAAAGCGUGCGCAGGCGGUUAUAUAAGACAGAUGUGAAAUCCCCGGGCUCAACCUGGGAACUGCAUUUGUGACUGUAUGACUAGAGUACGGCAGAGGGAGGUGGAAUUCCGCGUGUAGCAGUGAAAUGCGUAGAUAUGCGGAGGAACACCGAUGGCGAAGGCAGCCUCCUGGGCCAGUACUGACGCUCAUGCACGAAAGCGUGGGGAGCAAACAGGAUUAGAUACCCUGUAGUCCACGCCCUAAACGAUGUCAACUAGUUGUUCGGUGAGGAGACUCAUUGAGUAACGCAGCUAACGCGUGAAGUUGACCGCCUGGGGAGUACGGCCGCAAGGUUAAAACUCAAGGAAUUGACGG